CAUAGAAGAAUUUUUAGAUUGGAUUUCAAAGUUGGACAAAUUAUUCAACCAUGUAAUAGAGUCAAAUUGGUGGCUUGUCAAUUGAAAGGAGGUGCUUUUGUUUGAUGGGAGCGAUUGCAAUCCAAGAGAGCAAGAGAAGGGACAGGACUAGUCUGUACAUGGUUUAUAAUGAAGUAUUUGUUGGAACAAGAAUUUUUGCCUCUAGAUUAUGAGCAGAUUUUAUUCCAACAAAAACUUUGCC
rnacentral:misc_RNA from 1 species